rnacentral:sRNA from 1 species
CGUGUCCAUAUUUCAGUUCAAGUCUUGGUCGUGUAGGUCCAUAUUUCAGUUCAAGUCUAGGUCGUGUAGGUUCAUAUUUCAGUUCAAAUCUAGGUCGUGUAGGUCCAUAUUUCAGUUCAAGUCUAGGUCGUGUUGAUCCAUAUUUCAGUUUAAGUCUAGGUCGUGUCCAUAUUUCAGUUCAAGUCUAGGACGUGUUGGUCCAUAUUUUAGUUCAAGUCUAGGUCGUGUAGGUCCAUAUUUUAGUUUAAGUCUAGGUCGUGUGGGUCCAUAUUUCAGUUUAAGUCUAGGUCGUGUCCAUUUUUCAGUUCAAGUCUUGGUCGUGUAGGUCCAUAUUUCAGUUCAAGUCUAGAUCGUGUAGGUCCAUAUUUUAGUUCAAGUCUAGGUCGUGUGGGUCCAUAUUUCAGUUCAAGUCUAGGUCGUGUAGGUCCAUAUUUCAGUUCAAGUCUAGGUCGUGUCCAUAUUUCAGUUCAAGUCUAGGUCGUGUAGGUCCAUAUUUCAGUUCAAGUCUUGGUCGUCUAGGUGCAUAUUUCAGUUCAAGUCUAGGUCGUGUAGUUCCAUAUUUCAGUUCAAGUCUAGGUCGUGUAGGUCCAUAUUUCAGUUCAAGUAUUGGUUGUGUAGGUCCAUAUUUCAGUUCAAGUCUAGGUCGUGUAGGUCCAUAUUUCAGUUCAAGCCUAGGUCGUGUUGGUCCAUAUUUCAGUUCAAGUCUAGGUCGUGUAGGUCCAUAUUUCAGUUCAAGUCUAGGUCGUGUAGGUCCAUAUUUCAGUUCAAGUCUUGGUUGUCAGAAGAUUUGUCGGU